AGGCCAGUUCGAGGAUGAAUCGUUUCGGCUCCCGUCCUUAUUGAUGAACACAAGGAGACCGGGAGGAUCUCGCCAUGUGAAUAUAUGGUUGCAGUGAGACCAGCAUGAACUUUCCAUUGGAUACGAACCAAUUUGAUAAAAUAUCGGAGGUUGGUUGGACGAAAUAUUCUGUUCUUGACUGUUGCCCAUCUUUGUCUGCUUCCAUUUUAGGGCUAAAGGAGAUUCAGGAUAGUGGCGGUGAGCUCCGGGUCUAAUGGAUGUAGUAAUCCCUGGACGAUUUGGCCAGCAGUUGUUUCCCA
rnacentral:sRNA from 2 species